UUGCCGCAGCUCACCAUGACCUAGAUCGAGCGAAGCACCUGGUCGAGCGAAACUGCACCUUUCGAAAAACAAGGGUUUGGGGAGAAGUAGCCGCCGCACACACCGCGCCCCAGCCCCGCCGCUCUCGAGUCUGCCGCCGCGCGGCCACCCGCCGGUCCAGGUCCGCCAGGAGGUCGGCGAGAGUCCCUGUCUUCUCCCGCUCCGCGCUACCGCCGUCCGUGCUGCCCUCCAGCGCUCGCAAUAGUUUAUUAAAUGGAGCAAGUAUUCCAAGUUGUUUCUGAGAAGGUCUCUAGCUCUGUUGUGAUUGUUCGACAGCAUCCAUAUGGUCGAUAUUGUGUUGGUUCUGUAGUUUCCCCUCCAUCAAAUACCAAUACAACAGCAAUAAUGACAUCCUCGCGUUUGAGUGAAGAAAGCGGUAGAAUCUUUGUUCACUUCAAUGACAACACUGAACUGGAAGCAAGGAGAUUAGUGUCUGCAGAUCGAUUCACUUUGCUAGAAGUUGACUACAAAGCUGGUUGCAGUAUGAUUGAAUUUAGUGAAAUAGAUGUUAAUCAACCCUCAGAUGCUUUUAUUCUCGCUCCUAACUCGAAAUCCUGUUUAUCACAUAUCCCAGCAUUUGUGGUACAGCCUUCCUGUGCUGCAAGGGAUGCCAAAAUGAAUCGAAGGAUCUGAGAAUUACUUUUUGGUCUUAUGUCGCUCUGGGAACUUGCUUAACGUAGGAUAUGCUAUUCAGAACCAGUUAAUGUCUGCUCCGGUUUUUGAUUUAAACGGCAAAGUUAUUGGGCUAGUGACUUCUCAGUGUGGCACGGAUAAGACCAAAAAUGAUAUCAAGAUUGGACUUUUAGCCUCUCAUGCUCGGAAGAUUCGUGAUGACCUACUAGAGGAAAGCAAGAAAGAAAUGAAGGUAGCUGAGCGCUCUGAGGAAAGCAAGCAGCAUGAAGAAGGAGCUGAGACUAACAGCUCCGCGGGUACAAGAAAAAAGAAAAGGAGACUCAUGAAGGGAGGAAAGCCAGUAUGCUGAUGUACGCUUGCCUUGGCGUAUUCCGUAGAACAGAAGAAACUGAUGGUGAGGGUUUAGAUAGUUGGCACGCUAACGGCACUGGGCUGAUAUUUCCGUUUUAUCACUUCAUGCAAAUCUGGCAGCGAUGGAUGACUGUACCAGCUUCCAAGGGUGCUGGGACGAAGGCAUAGCCUCUUUUUGUUGGUUGACAAGCGUGUCUUGACACUCUUUUUUGUAUUACCAUCUUAUUCAAUUCUGAUAGCGAGCAAGGGCCGUUCAAACUUCCAGGUGUGCUGGGACACACGCAUAGGUUUUUUGUUGUGGUGGGCAAGCGUGUCUUGUCCUGACAGUGGCACCUUGGAGUCUUGUUAGCAAUGGUGGUCCAUUUUGGGAAUCAUGGUGAACCGCUAAUGUCGGAUUCUUGUAGGGAGAUGGCAGAUUUGCUAAUUGGGUUUGUAACUUCUGGGAAUAGCUGUUGCUAAACAUUUAUUUAAAAACAGGUUGCAUGCACAAA